rnacentral:rRNA from 1 species
CCUACGUGCGGCAGCAGUGAGGAAUAUUGGUCAAUGGCCGUAAGGCUGAACCAGCCAAGUAGCGUGAGGGAAGACUGCCCUAUGGGUUGUAAACCUCUUUUAUGCGGGGAUAAAGGUGUCCACGUGUGGAUGUUUGCAGGUACCGCAUGAAUAAGGACCGGCUAAUUCCGUGCCAGCAGCCGCGGUAAUACGGAAGGUCCGAGCGUUAUCCGGAUUUAUUGGGUUUAAAGGGAGCGUAGGUGGUUUAGUAAGUUGGCGGUGUAAUUCCGGGGCUCAACCUCGGCGCUACCGCCAAAACUAGUAGACGAGAGUGCAGGAGUGGUAAGUAGAAUUCCUGGUGUAGCGGUGGAAUGCGUAGAUAUUAGGAGGAACAUCAGGGGCGAAGGCGACUUACUGGACUGUAACUGACACUGAGGCACGAAAGCGUGGGGAGCAAACAGGAUUAGAUACCCCAGUAGUC